GGUCAUCCCACGAUGAAAGACCGGAUUUCUCGUACGAUCACCGAAGUUAAGCAGUGUAGAGCCAGGUCAGUACUUAGAUGGGGGAUUAAAUUGGGAACACCUGGUACUGUAAGC